rnacentral:hammerhead_ribozyme from 1 species
AUCCAGCUGACGAGUCCUAAAUAAGACGAAACGCGCAUCCUGCAU